rnacentral:rRNA from 1 species
GACGAACGCUGGCGGCGUGCCUAAUACAUGCAAGUCGAGCGGACGGAUGGGAGCUUGCUCCCAGACCGUCAGCGGCGGACGGGUGAGUAACACGUGGGCAACCUGCCUGUAAGACUGGGAUAACUCCGGGAAACCGGGGCUAAUACCGGAUAACUCUUUCCCUCACAUGAGGGAAAGCUGAAAGAUGGCAUCUCGCUAUCACUUACAGCUGGGCCCGCGGCGCAUUAGCUAGUUGGUGAGGUAACGGCUCACCAAGGCGACGAUGCGUAGCCGACCUGAGAGGGUGAUCGGCCACACUGGGACUGAGACACGGCCCAGACUCCUACGGGAGGCAGCAGUAGGGAAUCUUCCGCAAUGGACGAAAGUCUGACGGAGCAACGCCGCGUGAGUGAUGAAGGUGUUCGGAUCGUAAAACUCUGUUGUCAGGGAAGAACAAGUACCGGAGUAACUGCCGGUACCUUGACGGUACCUGACCAGAAAGCCACGGCUAACUACGUG